UACGUAGGUGGCAAGCGUUGUCCGGAUUUACUGGGCGUAAAGGAUGCGUAGGUGGAAACUUAAGUGGGAAUGUGAAAUCCCCGGGCUCAACCCGGGAACUGCAUUCCAAACUGGGUUACUUGAGUGCAGGAGAGGAAAGCGGAAUUCCUAGUGUAGCGGUGAAAUGCGUAGAUAUUAGGAGGAACACCAGUGGCGAAGGCGGCUUUCUGGACUGUAACUGACACUGAGGCAUGAAAGCGUGGGGAGCAAACAGGAUUAGAUACCCGGGUAGUCCCUGAGCGGG
rnacentral:rRNA from 1 species